rnacentral:tRNA from 1 species
GUCCCUCUAGCUCAGUUGGUAGAGCAACGUCCUUUUAAGUCGUGGGUCGUCGGUUCGAGCCCGACGGGGGACACCU